CAGCUAACAUAAUCAUCCAAAUUCAGGUAUUAACUUACACUAGAAUGGAGAGAUUGAUACUUAGAAAAAGUAAAAAACAAAAAAAAAUUUUAAAAAGU